rnacentral:pre_miRNA from 8 species
AGACUAUUAUUUGCAAUCAGUAACAAAGAUUCAUCCUUGUGUCCAUCAAGCAACAAGGAGAAUCUUUGUCACUAAGUGUAAAUAAUAGCUACAC